GGUUGGCCAGGAUUAACAGAUGACCACUGGUCAUUUCAAGGUCAUUCAUUUGAAGGUCAAGGUCACUGUGACCUUCAAUAUAAAAAAUGUUAAAGUUGUUAUAACUUUGGUAUGCUUGGACCUAGAGUCUUGAAACUUGACAUGAAGGUUGGCCAGGAUUAACAGAUGACCACUGGUCAUUUCAAGGUCAUUCAUUUGAAGGUGAAGGUCACUGUGACCUUCAAUAUAAAAAUGUUAAAGUUGUUAUAACUUUGGUAUGCUUGGACCUAGAGUCUUGAAACUUGACAUGAAGGUUGGCCAGAACUAGUAAGUAACCACUGGACAUUUCAAGGUCAUUCAUUUGAAGGUCAAGGUCACUGUGACCUUCAAUAUAAAAAAUGUUAAAGUUGUUAUAACUUUGGUAUGCUUGGACCUAGAGUCUUGAAACUUGACAUGAAGGUUGGCCAGAACUAGUUAGUAACCACUGGUCAUUUCAAGGUCAUUCAUUUGAAGGUGAAGGUCACUGUGACCUUCAAUAUAAAAAUGUUAAAGUUGUUAUAACUUUGGUAUGCUUGGACCUAGAGUCUUGAAACUUGACAUGAAGGUUGGCCAGAACUAGUAAGUAACCACUGGAC